rnacentral:rRNA from 1 species
AUUGAACGCUGGCGGAAUGCUUUACACAUGCCAGUCGAACGGCAGCACGGGGGCAACCCUGGUGGCGAGUGGCGAACGGGUGAGUAAUACAUCGGAACGCGCCCGGUCGUGGGGGAUAACGUAGCGAAAGUUACGCUAAUACCGCAUACGAUCUGAGGAUGAAAGCGGGGGACCUUCGGGCCUCGCGCGAUCGGAGCGGCCGAUGUCAGAUUAGGUAGUUGGUGGGGUAAAGGCCUACCAAGCCGACGAUCUGUAGCUGGUCUGAGAGGACGACCAGCCACACUGGGACUGAGACACGGCCCAGACUCCUACGGGAGGCAGCAGUGGGGAAUUUUGGACAAUGGGCGCAAGCCUGAUCCAGCCAUUCCGCGUGCAGGACGAAGGCCUUCGGGUUGUAAACUGCUUUUGUAUGGAACGAAAAGGCUCUGGCUAAUACCUGGGGCUCAUGACGGUACCGUAAGAAUAAGCACCGGCUAACUACGUG